rnacentral:rRNA from 1 species
CCUACGGGAGGCUGCAGUGGGGAAUAUUGCACAAUGGGGGAAACCCUGAUGCAGCGACGCCGCGUGAGCGAAGAAGUAUUUCGGUAUGUAAAGCUCUAUCAGCAGGGAAGAAAAUGACGGUACCUGAGUAAGAAGCUCCGGCUAAAUACGUGCCAGCAGCCGCGGUAAUACGUAUGGAGCAAGCGUUAUCCGGAUUUACUGGGUGUAAAGGGAGCGCAGGCGGCCUUGCAAGUCUGAUGGGAAAUACCGGGGCGCAACCCCGGAGCUGCAUUGGAAACUGUGAGGCUGGAGGGUCGGAGAGGCAGGCAGAAUUCCUAGUGUAGCGGUGAAAUGCGUAGAUAUUAGGAGGAACACCAGUGGCGAAGGCGGCCUGCUGGACGAUGACUGACGCGGAGGCUCGAAAGCGUGGGGAGCAAACAGGAUUAGAUACCCUAGUAGUC